rnacentral:rRNA from 1 species
GACGAACGCUGGCGGCGUGCCUAAUACAUGCAAGUUGAGCGCUGAAGGUUGGUACUUGUACCGACUGGAUGAGCAGCGAACGGGGGAGUAAAGCGUGGGGAAUCUGCCUUUGAGCGGGGGACAACAUUUGGAAACGAAUGCUAAUACCGCAUAAAAACUUUAAACACAAGUUUUAAGUUUUAAAGAUGCAAUUGCAUCACUCAAAGAUGAUCCCGCGUUGUAUUAGCUAGUUGGUGAGGGAAAGGCUCACCAAGGCGUAGAUAGAUAGCCGACCUGAGAGGGUGAGCGGCCACAGUGGGACUGAGACACGGCCCAGACUCAUACGGGAGGCAGCAGUAGGGAAGCUUAGGAAAUGGAAGAAAGUCUGACCGAGCAACGCCGCGGGAGUGAAGAAGGUUUUCGGAUCGGAAAACUAUGUCGGUAGAGAAGAACGUUGGUGAGAGUGGAAAGCUCAUCAAGUGACGGUAACUACCCAGAAAGGGACGGCUAACUACGUG